rnacentral:sRNA from 1 species
UCGCGCCGCCCUCCUUGGGCGUUUCCUCCCUAGACUCGGGCCGCCUCGCAAGAGAGCGGCCCUUUUUUCUGGCCGCA